rnacentral:rRNA from 1 species
UACGUAGGGGGCAAGCGUUGUCCGGAAUUAUUGGGCGUAAAGCGCGCGCAGGCGGUUUUUUAAGUCCGAUGUAUAAGCCCGGGGCUCAACCCCGGGAGGCAUGGGAAACUGGGAGGCUUGAGUACAGAAGAGGAGAGUGGAAUUCCACGUGUAGCGGUGAAAUGCGUAGAUAUGUGGAGGAACACCAGUGGCGAAGGCGACUCUCUGGUCUGUAACUGACGCUGAGGCGCGAAAGCGUGGGGAGCAAACAGG